AGGUUGACAUUGGGACACCUCCACAAACAACCAAAGAGAUUAAGCCCAAAUUUUGUUGCAAGCACUGUGUUUAGAUGGCGAGAUUCUAUAAUUAGUAUAAACAUUUUAAUAAUCAUGCAUGUCAACUUUUAAUUAUGUUUCCAACUGUCACCACUCCCAAUCUAAUCUCAUAGGCUUUGAAUUUGAUUGAUAGGCUUUCCUUUUGCACUUUCGUGGCCAUCACCCGUCAAUUAUCAUCAUUAUCAUCAUCAUCUUCAUCUUCUCCUUCUUCUCUUUCAUUCUCCAUGAUCCAAUUAACCCUUAUUUUUCCUUUUUCUUCUUCUCAUCCCUCGACGUGUUUAACUUCUUUUCUCUCUUAUCUAUCAAAGUUGGUCGACAUUUUUCAAUCCAAUUUCAUGCAUGACCUAAUUUUCUCACGUUGUUAUUCUCGUCAUUGUCUUUCCCUUUUCAGGGUUAAUACAAAUAAAGGAAGAAAAAACACAUUCAAUGCAUAUUUGUU
rnacentral:lncRNA from 1 species